rnacentral:rRNA from 1 species
UACGAAGGGGGCUAGCGUUGCUCGGAAUCACUGGGCGUAAAGCGCACGUAGGCGGAUUGCUAAGUCAGGGGUGAAAUCCUGGAGCUCAACUCCAGAACUGCCUUCGAUACUGAGGAUCUCGAGUCCGGGAGAGGUGAGUGGAACUGCGAGUGUAGAGGUGAAAUUCGUAGAUAUUCGCAAGAACACCAGUGGCGAAGGCGGCUCACUGGCCCGGUACUGACGCUGAGGUGCGAAAGCGUGGGGAGCAAACAGG